rnacentral:lncRNA from 1 species
AUUACUCAAGUACAAAAUCCCGGGAACAGGCCUGCUUUCAUCCCGGGGCAAGGUUGCUUAAAAGAAACUGAGGAGGUGCAGGGCCCUCCCCGGCCUAUUGUGGGUCCUAGUCUGCCACCUCGGUGUCCUCCUUUGACAACAGCCUGUUGAAUUUGCAUUAAUGUUCCUGAUUGUAUCUCUGCCUUUUCUACUUCUGCUUACCUGCUAGGCUUUAAACUUUUUGCCUGAGGAAAUGGGUUUCUGGAGACAGAGUGGCUGCUCCAAUAAAGUAUAAAACCGAGAAGGCUCUGAGGAAACUCAAAUCUUCAUUUUGCAGAGCUGUCUCAAGAGCUUGGCACCUGUGUCUCCGUUGUCCCUGCUGUACAGGUGACAGUGGUGAUGAGGACUGUACACAACGAAGUCAUCCUGCUCCUGGUACCAAAUGAGGAUCGCCCUGGAGAGCCAGGAGCAUCAGUGACUUGCAGAAGAAUUGCAGCCACCAUGACUUUGACUCUGAUCGAGCGAGCAGAUGAGAAGGGAGCCGCUGCACCCAGGGAGAGGAGAUUGCACCUGUUUAUCUACAAGGAUACUAAGGAGAGGGGAUUGCACCUACUUCUCUAUAAGGAUACUGAAGUAAGCCUGCUGAUGUCCUUGGGUAGGAUAGGGUAAUGAAACUGUGUAUCUACAAGGAUUCAAAGGAGAUGGGAUUGCACCUGUUUAUCUACAAGUAUAUCAAGGGAUCAAACUCAGGACCUUGCACUUUCAAGGCAGGCGAGGAUGGACCAUCCUGGAGCCACACAGAGCCUGGGGCCAUCUUCUGAUCACUUUGCCACAGAACUACUAGGAGCAGCUCUUUAGAUUGAAGAAGACCAGGCCACCAGGCCCCAACGCCAUCCAAACAGAUCUGACCUCCAUCAUCCCAGCAAGGAAGUGAUGGGCCUGCCUUGUGAGCUGGGUCUGAUGAACAUCACCCCACUGAAUCCUCCAGCUAUCUCAGGGCUUCAGGUGUCUCAGCUCUAACAUGACUCCAGCUAAACACAGCUGACUUUGCCUCCACAACUGGGAGCCUCUUUGUCUCCCUGAACUGCAGCUCUGCACAUUCCCCCAGCCCCCAGCAACAUCCAUGCAACCCUCUAUUUCUGUGGAUUUGAUGACUCCAGAGAAGCAGCUUGGAAAAACCCCCUAGGGAGCCAGGGACCUCAGACCCAGCUGCUUCCACUCAGCGGGGCCACAGAAGCUGCUGAGGCCCAGGCUGGGUGUGCACUGAGCAAAGCAAAUGGAUGAUUCCCAGGGAUGUUGAGACAGUUCAUCCACCCUUGACAUCUUCCUACGGCAGCUUGCUGGCUUCUGCCUGUGUCACCUCCCCACAGUCUAAGGAGGGUUGGUCACUUGUUAUGGGGCACUCAGCAGAAGAAUACAGCGUGAUUAUCUCCAUCGUGCGAUGAUGUACCGAGUCCAGAGCCUCUGUCAGGCCUCCUCUGUCCAGCAACUCUGCCACACCAGCAACCUGGGAGCCCCCAACAGCAUCAGGAUUCAGUCCACAGCAAGCCUGGGCCUGCUCUGCUUCUGAUGGGCAGGAGAAGCCAGGGCCUCUCCAGUCCUGCAUUCCUGUCCUUGACAAAGCUCAGCUUGUGGUGGUUCCUACUGAUGCCAGCAGCAUCGGUGUUCUUCAUCUGCAAAGUGCAGGUGGUACAAUCGGCCUCUCCAGGACUGAAUGAUGCUGGACUAUCACUCAGGACAUACACAUGGCUGGUUUGCCAGUCUAAUUGUGCUUUCUCUCUCCAUACUACUGGUAAAGAACCAGAUGAUGACCACCAACAUCUGGCUAAAGCAGGGGAGCUGGAUUCUCACUUGGUGGCUCAGGGCUUCCAAGGUGACAGUUCCAAGAGGCACGAAGUAGAAGCUGCUGCGGUUCUCUUACUUUUGGACACUAGCCCAGCAUCAGUUCUGCUGUACUCCACUGAUCCAAAGGAAUCCAGCUGGAUCCAGGCUCUUCCCAGCCACUCCCCAAUCCCCAACACAGAGGAGGCUGGAGAGUAAAUGAAAGAGGACCCAGACCCUGGCACACAGCAUUUUCCUCCAGCCCACUGGUAUCUGCCUGUCCCUAUGGCAGAGCUUCCUCAUGCACAACCAAGAAGGACCAGUCUGACCAAAGGAACUAGGAG